UCAAAUCCUUUCACCAACUAAUAGUUCAAUCCAUAUUGGCAAUUACCAGAAAACGAAGCCCACCUUGCUGGCAUCCUCACAAAAACAAAUACAACCAGCAUUGGUUUCCAGAAAAUAUAUCGCCUUUGAAAAGGGGGAGCCAAUCCCAAACAAACCAAUCAUCCUUAGCAUUCAAACAUGCGUCACAUGCAUCACCUUGUACAUAACGCAUACAUGACAUUUAUGCAUAUAGCAUGAAUCAAUACCCAAGGUUUAGUC
rnacentral:lncRNA from 1 species